UACGAAGGGUGCAAGCGUUGAUCGGAAUUACUGGGCGUAAAGGGUGCGUAGGCGGUUCGUUAAGUCUGUCGUGAAAUCCCCGGGCUCAACCUGGGAAUGGCGAUGGAUACUGGCGAGCUAGAGUGUGUCAGAGGAUGGUGGAAUUCCCGGUGUAGCGGUGAAAUGCGUAGAGAUCGGGAGGAACAUCAGUGGCGAAGGCGGCCAUCUGGGACAACACUGACGCUGAAGCACGAAAGCGUGGGGAGCAAACAGG
rnacentral:rRNA from 1 species